CCCCGGCUAGCUCAGUCGGUAGAGCAUGAGACUCUUAAAUUUAGGGUCGUGGGUUUCAGCUCCACGUUGGGCG
rnacentral:tRNA from 1 species